rnacentral:rRNA from 1 species
CCAGACUCCUACGGGAGGCAGCAGUGGGGAAUAUUGGGCAAUGGGCGCAAGCCUGACCCAGCAACGCCGCGUGAAGGAAGAAGGCUCUCGGGUUGUAAACUUCUUUUAUCAGGGACGAAGCAAGUGACGGUACCUGAUGAAUAAGCCCCGGCUAACUACGUGCCAGCAGCCGCGGUAAUACGUAGGGGGCAAGCGUUAUCCGGAUUUACUGGGUGUAAAGGGAGCGUAGACGGCCAUUCAAGCCAGAUGUGAAAGCCCGGGGCUCAACCCCGGGACUGCAUUUGGAACUGUGUGGCUAGAGUGUCGGAGAGGCAGGCGGAAUUCCUAGUGUAGCGGUGAAAUGCGUAGAUAUCACGCAGAACUCCGAUUGCGAAGGCAGCGUACCGGCGCCCAACUGACGCUGAUGCACGAAAGCGUGGGUAUCGAACAGGAUUAGAUACCCCUGUA